CUUUGGCUGGGAUGCUGGAGGUGAAACCUGGGGACCGCAAGGCCAGGGGCAAGGAGAGGAUCCUGCGUCUGAUUAGCUAGUUGGCGGGGUAAUGGCCCACCAAGGCGACGAUCAGUAGCCGGCCUGAGAGGGUGAUCGGCCACACUGGAACUGAGACACGGUCCAGACUCCUACGGGAGGCAGCAGUGGGGAAUUUUGCGCAAUGGACGAAAGUCUGACGCAGCAACGCCGCGUGGGUGAUGAAGGUCUUCGGACUGUAAAACCCUGUCGUCAGGGACGAAGGUGCUUACGUUAAUAGCGUGAGUACUUGACGGUACCUGGAGAGGAAGCCCCGGCUAACUCUGUGCCAGCAGCCGCGGUAAUACAGAGGGGGCAAGCGUUAUUCGGAAUUAUUGGGCGUAAAGGGCGCGUAGGCGGUUUUUUAAGUCAGAUGUGUAAUCCCCGAGCUCAACUUGGGAACUGCAUCUGAGACUGGAAGGCUAGAGUACUGGAGAGGGUGGUGGAAUUCCUCGUGUAGCGGUGAAAUGCGUAGAGAUGAGGAGGAACACCAGUGGCGAAGGCGGCCACCUGGACAGUAACUGACGCUGAGGCGCGAAAGUGUGGGUAGCAAACAGGAUUAGAUACCCUGGUAGUCCACGCUGUAAACGAUGAACACUUGGUGUGGAGGGAGUUGACCCCUUCCGUGCCGGAGCUAACGCGUUAAGUGUUCCGCCUGGGGAGUACGGUCGCAAGGCUGAAACUCAAAGGAAUUGACGGGGGCCCGCACAAGCGGUGGAGCAUGUGGUUUAAUUCGACGCAACGCGAAGAACCUUACCUGGGCUUGAACUGCUAUGGACCGGUGCAGAGAUGUGCCUUUUCGCAGAACUGUAGCAGAGUGCUGCAUGGCUGUCGUCAGCUCGUGUCGU
rnacentral:rRNA from 1 species